CAUUAGGAAGACAACUGUCUAUGAACCAGGAAAUGGGCUGUCACCAGAACCCAAAUCUGCCGGUACCUUGAUCAUGGACUGUUGCUUAUUGUUCAAGCCACCCAGUCUAUAGUAGUUUUGUUACAGCAGCCCAAAUGGAGUAAAACCAAAGAAGACUGAAUUAGAUGCUGAGUGCACUGCACAACAAACUGGGGGGAAGAGGCUUGGUUUGUUUGCCAGGCUUCAUUUGACCAAGUGAUGAUGGAGGUUUCUCUGGUGGUCACCAAAUGGGAGGAAGGCAGGCAGAUGCAAAAAACAAAAAACAAAAAACCCGGCACACUAAUUGUCCUGGUGUUCGCCGCGACCUCUCUUCCCCCUGUCAUGGAGCAUCGACAGGUAUCCCAAAGGAAAAACCGGAUGCUUGACAUUGGGUCUGGAAUCUUAUCUGCCCUGUCUUGUUCUCAACAUUAAUCGGCACCAUAAAACUCUGCCAGUUGGGCCCUGUGCGUCUCAGAAUUGGUCAUCAUUCUUACUCGAACGAGGCAGAAGUUUACCUUAUCUUAGAGAACAAAAGGUCAGGGAUGAAAUGACCUAAGAAAAUUAGCCAGAUACAAAAAUACAACUGGAAUGUUUAGUCUCUUUUAGAAAAUACUGUUUUCGAGUGCCUUAAGAGCCAUUUCAUUUCAUUUCAUUUCAUUCAGAGCCAUUAAUGAGCUAAUUAUCUUUUUACUAAAG